GACGAACGCUGGCGGCGUGCUUAACACAUGCAAGUCGAACGGAAAGGCCCUGCUUUUGUGGGGUGCUCGAGUGGCGAACGGGUGAGUAACACGUGAGUAACCUGCCCUUGACUUUGGGAUAACUUCAGGAAACUGGGGCUAAUACCGGAUAGGAGCUCCUGCUGCAUGGUGGGGGUUGGAAAGUUUCGGCGGUUGGGGAUGGACUCGCGGGUUAUCAGCUUGUGGGUGGGGUAGUGGCUUACCAAGGCUUUGACGGGUAGCCGGACUGAGAGGGUGACCGGCCACCUUGGGACUGAGAUAAGGCACAGACUGCUAAGGGAGGCAGCAGUGGGGAAUAUUGCACAAUGGGCGGAAGCCUGAUGCAGAAACGCCGCGUGCGGGAUGGCGGCCUUCGGGGUGUAAACCGCUUUCGCCUGUGACGAAGCGUGAGUGACGGUAAUGGGUAAAGAAGCACCGGCUAACUACGUG
rnacentral:rRNA from 1 species